rnacentral:rRNA from 1 species
GACGAACGCUGGCGGCGUGCUUAACACAUGCAAGUCGAACGGAAAGGCCCUGCUUUUGUGGGGUGCUCGAGUGGCGAACGGGUGAGUAACACGUGAGUAACCUGCCCUUGACUUUGGGAUAACUUCAGGAAACUGGGGCUAAUACCGGAUAGGAGCUCCUGCUGCAUGGUGGGGGUUGGAAAGUUUCGGCGGUUGGGGAUGGACUCGCGGCUUAUCAGCUUGUUGGUGGGGUAGUGGCUUACCAAGGCUUUGACGGGUAGCCGGCCUGAGAGGGUGACCGGCCACAUUGGGACUGAGAGACGGCCCAGACUCCUACGGGAGGCAGCAGUGGGGAAUAUUGCACAAUGGGCGGAAGCCUGAUGCAGCAACGCCGCGUGCGGGAUGACGGCCUUCGGGUUGUAAACCGCUUUCGCCUGUGACGAAGCGUGAGUGACGGUAAUGGGUAAAGAAGUACCGGCUAACUACGUG